GGSAGGGAGRCACUCGUGCCUUCCUGCCGAACAACGUACCCCGGCGCGGUSUGCGCCAAGGAACAUGAACGAAAGAGUGCCUCCGGUCGCCUCGGAAACGCUGCGCGCACCGGAGGCGAAUCUUGUCUAGAACCAUAACGACUCUCGGCAACGGAUAUCUCGGCUCUCGCAUCGAUGAAGAACGUAGCGAAAUGCGAUACUUGGUGUGAAUUGCAGAAUCCCGCGAAUCAUCGAGUCUUUGAACGCAAGUUGCGCCCGAAGCCACCUGGCCGAGGGCACGUCUGCCUGGGUGUCACGCAUCGUUGCCCCCAACCCCAUCGCCCUGCAAAGAGGCGGUGGGGGCAUGCGGGGCGGACAUUGGCCUCCCGUGGGCUGAUGCCYGCGGCUGGCCUAAAAACGAGUCCUCGGCGACGAUCGCCACGACAAUCGGUGGUUGACAKACCCUCGUGACCCGUCGUGCGCGCAUCGCCGCUCAACGCGUGCUCUUUUGACCCUGUCGCGUCGCGCUCGCGACGCUUCCAACGCG
rnacentral:rRNA from 1 species